CCUGCACGUGCACAGUGGCCCUCCAAAGUCAUCAUUGCUUUACAUGCCAGGCAAUGGAAGCCCAGACAGGGAAACAAGGGGAGAAAGCCAUGUGAAGGUGAGGUGGAGACUUGAGUGUCCUGGGAUACGUCGGCAUCUAUCAUCCAUCAUCUGUCUAUAGGUACCUGGAUUGAUUGACAACACCACCGGUCCAGCUUCAUGAAGCCAGGUAACCGGGAAGCAUCUGACCCUGCCUUCUCCCUCUCCCCAAAGCCUGUGUCCUCCCAAGCCAGUGUCUUUGCCUCAGUAUCUGUCUACCAGCUUCUCUCCAUCCCAGUGGCCACCACCCCAGUCUGAGCUGCUGAAAUCUCUCACCCAGGCUGGGAAACAGCCUCCACCUGGUCUCCUUGCCUCCACGCUGGACCUGUCUACCCAUUUUCCAUGCUGCCAUCAGAAGGAGCCUUGGAGAUGCAAAUCUCAUCCCAGCACCCUUGAUGAACACUUCCAUGACUGUGGCCGUUGCUCCUAAGAUAAAGACCAGAUUCCUCCUCCAGGAAGCCUCCCUGUCUUUACACACAAAAUCCCCUGCUUCAAAGCCACAUGCCACUGACUACCGCUGCUAUUUGUGAGACUCUUGUUUACUCCUUCCCUGACUCUGGGAACCACUCUGUCUCCAGUACUCAAUCCUGAGCAUUCACUUGAGAACCUCAUUUGUUGAUAGAAUGAAUGAGAAAGCUCUCAUUGCACAUCCGAAAACAUGAUGUUAGGGCGGCAUUGUGACUCCCAUGAUGCAUCUCUGAACACCCACACAAUUCUGGCAUCUGCCAUCCUAAGUGCUGAGGACGGUACCAUCACCCGCAUUUUGUUAUCGGAGAAAUAGAGCUGGUUCUUAGUCUAAAGAGAGAUACUGGGGAAACAGCUGAGCAGAAAGUAGGACUAGAGACAGCAGUCCCCGAAAAUCCCUUCAGGCCUUGCUUCCUGAGCUGGGAGGGGAACUGCGGUUGCCAAAGGCAGCCCCGGCCCCCAGUGUUCUUCUGCUGCGUGACUCCCGGCCUGCAGUGACGCCCACACCCUCCCACUCUUAUGAUUGUCGAAUUGUCUAUUGUCACCACUGACUGGUGAGCGAGCCACCCGGGGCAGUUUUGAAAGACAGCUGGCGAGGUAAGCUGAGGCCACAGAGCCAGCCCGGAGACACUGGCAGCAUCUAAACUCCCUUUCCUUGACUACGCUUUGGGGCUAGGUCCCCAAGUCCCUGGAGGCAGUGCAGAAAUUCCACACGAAGGGGUAACUGGGGUGUCAAACGGGAGCGCCUGCUGCCACUCCAAGCUGGGACCCAUCUCUGCCGACACCUCGGGGUGUCCCUGCUGUAUUCGGUGUCCUUUUGUUUCAAAAAAAUAAUUUUCCUCUUAGUACAUGGCAGGUGGUGGGGUUUGUUGCUCUUGAAUUGGCAAAGCAACUAGAGGAAAAACCAACCCACGCCGUCUGGAAGGGAAGGAACUGUCGAAGGCUGAGACUUGGAUUAUCCCUCCUUAGCAUCUGGGAGGCAGGCGGGGAGUGAAGUGUCUCAUCCGUGAAGUGGUCAUCACUCUGAUCCACAUCAGUCCCGUUGUGAUGAAGUUUGCUGAGCACAGAGCCGGUGAUCUGGGGACUGCAUUGAAUUGAAUUGAAUUGAUUAUCAUUUUCUUGAGACAGGAUCUUGCUCUGUCACCCAGUCUCUAUUAAAAAUACAAAAAAUUAGCCGGCGUGUCGGUGGGCUCCUGUAAUUCAACUUGGGAGGCUGAGGCAGGAGAAUCGCUUGAACCCGGGAGGCGGAGAUUGCAGUGAGUUGAGAUCACUGCCAUCACACUCCAGACUGAACUAUAAGAGUAAAACUCCAUCUC
rnacentral:lncRNA from 1 species